GAGAUUACUCAGGGUGUAUAGCUUUUUGGUAGGAUGAUCAGAUUAGGAUGAUGUAUAGGGACUAGGGGUCCUUCUUUUUGGUUGGAAGUAUUUUUAGUUCGGAAAACUGUACUUAUACAAAUAUUAUCAGUUUGAUAUCAUCUUUGGAUGGGUUCCAUGUACCAUUUGAUGUUAUGUAAAUGUUUUGGAUUUAUAAUUGGAGAAACUUUUCCACUGCGUAAAUU
rnacentral:lncRNA from 1 species